GACGAACGCUGGCGGCGUGCCUAACACAUGCAAGUCGUACGGGACUUGGGGGCAACUCCAAGUUCAGUGGCAGACGGGUGCGUAACACGUGAAGAACUUGUCCGGUGGCGGGGGAUAGCCGGCCCAACGGCCGGGUAAUACCGCAUACGAUCGCGCGGGGGCAUCUCUGCGCGAGGAAAGCAGCCGCAAGGUUGCGCCGACGGAGAGCUUCGCGGCCUAUCAGCUAGUUGGCGGGGUAACGGCCCACCAAGGCGACGACGGGUAGCUGGUCUGAGAGGAUGAUCAGCCACAUUGGGACUGAGACACGGCCCAGACUCCUACGGGAGGCAGCAGUGGGGAAUAUUGCGCAAUGGCCGCAAGGCUGACGCAGCGACGCCGCGUGUGGGAUGACGGUCUUCGGAUUGUAAACCACUGUCAGGGGGAACGAAUACAGGGCGUCGAAUAGGCGACCCUGGGUGACGGUACCUCCAAAGGAAGCACCGGCUAACUCCGUGCCAG
rnacentral:rRNA from 1 species